rnacentral:rRNA from 1 species
GAUGAACGCUGGCGGCGUGCUUAACACAUGCAAGUCGAACGGUGAACGAGGGAGCUUGCUCCCUCCGGAUCAGUGGCGAACGGGUGAGUAACACGUGAGCAAUCUGCCCCGAACUCUGGGAUAAGCGCUGGAAACGGCGUCUAAUACCGGAUACGACGCGCGAAGGCAUCUUCUGCGCGUGGAAAGAAUUUCGGUUCGGGAUGAGCUCGCGGCCUAUCAGCUAGUUGGGGAGGUAACGGCUCACCAAGGCGACGACGGGUAGCCGGCCUGAGCGGGUGACCGGCCACACGGGGCAUGAGACACGGCCCAGACUCCUACGGGAGGCAGCAGUGGGGAAUAUUGCACAAUGGGCGCAAGCCGGAUGCAGCAACGCCGCGUGAGGGACGACGGCCUUCGGGUUGUAAACCUCUUUUAGUAGGGAAGAAGCGAAAGUGACGGUACCUGCAGAAAAAGCACCGGCUAACUACGUGCCAGCCGCCGCAGUAAUAC